GCUACAGGCUUAACACAUGCAAGUCGAGGGGCAGCAUGGUCUUAGCUUGCUAAGGCCGAUGGCGACCGGCGCACGGGUGAGUAACACGUAUCCAACCUGCCGUCUACUCUUGGACAGCCUUCUGAAAGGAAGAUUAAUACAAGAUGGCAUCAUGAGUCCGCAUGUUCACAUGAUUAAAGGUAUUCCGGUAGACGAUGGGGAUGCGUUCCAUUAGAUAGUAGGCGGGGUAACGGCCCACCUAGUCUUCGAUGGAUAGGGGUUCUGAGAGGAAGGUCCCCCACAUUGGAACUGAGACACGGUCCAAACUCCUACGGGAGGCAGCAGUGAGGAAUAUUGGUCAAUGGGCGAGAGCCUGAACCAGCCAAGUAGCGUGAAGGAUGACUGCCCUAUGGGUUGUAAACUUCUUUUAUAAAGGAAUAAAGUCGGGUAUGCAUACCCGUUUGCAUGUACUUUAUGAAUAAGGAUCGGCUAACUCCGUGCCAGCAGCCGCGGUAAUACGGAGGAUCCGAGCGUUAUCCGGAUUUAUUGGGUUUAAAGGGAGCGUAGAUGGAUGUUUAAGUCAGUUGUGAAAGUUUGCAGCUCAACCGUAAAAUUGCAGUUGAUACUGGAUAUCUUGAGUGCAGUUGAGGCAGGCGGAAUUCGUGGUGUAGCGGUGAAAUGCUUAGAUAUCACGAAGAACUCCGAUUGCGAAGGCAGCCUGCUAAGCUGCAACUGACAUUGAGGCUCGAAAGUGUGGGUAUCAAACAGGAUUAGAUACCCUGGUAGUCCGCACGGUAAACGAUGAAUACUCGCUGUUUGCGAUAUACGGCAAGCGGCCAAGCGAAAGCGUUAAGUAUUCCACCUGGGGAGUACGCCGGCAACGGUGAAACUCAAAGGAAUUGACGGGGGCCCGCACAAGCGGAGGAACAUGUGGUUUAAUUCGAUGAUACGCGAGGAACCUUACCCGGGCUUAAAUUGCAGAUGAAUUACGGUGAAAGCCGUAAGCCGCAAGGCAUCUGUGAAGGUGCUGCAUGGUUGUCGUCAGCUCGUGCCGUGAGGUGUCGGCUUAAGUGCCAUAACGAGCGCAACCCUUGUUGUCAGUUACUAACAGGUUCCGCUGAGGACUCUGACAAGACUGCCAUCGUAAGAUGUGAGGAAGGUGGGGAUGACGUCAAAUCAGCACGGCCCUUACGUCCGGGGCUACACACGUGUUACAAUGGGGGGUACAGAGGGCCGCUACCACGCGAGUGGAUGCCAAUCCCAAAAACCUCUCUCAGUUCGGACUGGAGUCUGCAACCCGACUCCACGAAGCUGGAUUCGCUAGUAAUCGCGCAUCAGCCACGGCGCGGUGAAUACGUUCCCGGGCCUUGUACACACCGCCCGUCAAGCCAUGGGAGCCGGGGGUACCUGAAGUGCGUAACCGCGAGGAGCGCCCUAGGGUAAAACUGGUGACUGGGGCUAAGU
rnacentral:rRNA from 1 species